UGACAGCCAGGCUCCAGCUCAUGUCCAUUUUGAUGACAUACUUCGGUCAGCUGACGACUACAUUCCCCAUGAUGCUAGCAUAAAAAUGGAAACUGAUACAAGGCAUGCAACGUCGACAGAGAUUGUUCGGAGUUACGUUCUCUACGAAGAUGGAAGAAGGAAUCCAAAUGGAUGUUCGCACACCAGUUCGGCCUUGAGAAUUCGACUAUCGAGGUGGGAAUGGUAGGUGCCCGCGCGAUCCUAGAAUGGAUCGUGACAAGGAGUGGGGAUACAUUAAAGGCAUCUACUGAAGAGAUUCAAGAAGGUGGUGAUCUUUCUGGAGAACAAAAGGAAUGAACGAUACAAUAAAUCACAUUAAACUAUUUUUUCAAAUUCUUUUAUCUGUAAUUAAGUUAUUUCAAUUUCAUGAUUAGGAAUACGUAUUUCAGUUUCCUGAAGAUGUAUCUGACAAAGUGCCAGACGUAUCAACGAACACUACCAAUAUUGCAGAGGUCCUAACUAAUAUUUCUCUCCCAAUCGUCUCUUCGGGACCAGCUCAGGAAAAGAGUGCCAUGGAACACAAGAAUCGUUCUGUUUUUUAGAUGCCACACAAAGUUGGUAAUUCACAAAUCAUCAGUGUGCGUAUUUUUCAAAAAAAGCAUCCAUUCGCGGAAGAUCCCAUCACUGGCCCAGUUGACGUAGAGCUUUUUGAUAAAUACUUGGUGUGGCUUCAAAAGGGACUGCUUGUCAGGCAUGAAAAAAAAAAGAACAAGGAAGAUCGUUACAGGAAGAAGAUGUCAGCUUUUGAGAUUGAUGCAAAUUAUACGUAUAAUUUUGGCAUCACAAUAUGAUAUGAUCCUAGAUGGCACAAAGGGCACAAAGAUGCUUGGAAGGACAUGGGACGUUUGGAUGAUGUCUUGGGAAGAGAUUGUGGCGACUUCUACACCAAGUGGUUAAAAGCGCAAAGGACUAAAAGUGCAAAUUAUGGCUAUACGAUCCAAAUCAAGAAAAAUUGGGCUACAAUUGCAAGACAGUUGGUGUUUGGAAGAUGAAGAUUUUCACAUGAGGGCUAUUUUCGAAAUUCCCAAAGAAGACUGCUAACCAAACAAGGCACUUGCCUCAUUAAUGACAUUUUUGUAAUAACUUAGUCUUCUUUUAGUCUAGGAAUAUAAAUACUAGACUUAGUUCAUUUCAUUAGUUAGAAUGAAUGAAUUAUGUAUUGAAUACUCUAAAUGAGUGAUAGCUUGUUUGGCUUAAUAGCCUUUAGGAUUUAGGAUAGUUAAUGGUGGAUUCCAUUGUUGGUUUAGAACCUCAUCUCCAAUGAUUUCAUGAAGAGUUGUUCAUUUGUGGAUUUCAUUUGAAUAUCUCUUGCCUCGAUGU